UGGUGAGUUUCAUGGCCUUUCCUUUUCGACACAGCAGGGCACGGCUGUCACCCACGCUUGCCACUACCAGCUCAAUACCAUCCCGCAGCAGGGCCACCGUUGCAGUGGUCCCAGAGUUCAUCAGAGUUGCUACAAAUGUCAUAUCAGAGAGAGAGGUUUUAUCACUGCCUCAAAGCACAGGACCAUUUACAACAGAGCAACAGUGUCGACUGGUUAAGACAAAGACAACUUGUGCUCUACAUUACUAGUAUUAUUACUGCUGCGGUGACUUGGUUAACUGACUUAACCAACAAGUCCACAGUGAAUGUUCACCAUGGUGACACAGGAUGCACCUUGGUCUAUGUUACAGCUGUGAUACAGACUACAAGAUUCAAAACCACAUAGAUGCCAGUAGUCUGUUGAGCAUUCAGGUUCUUAACACUCACUGGACACUUUUUACUGCAAGUCAUCUCAACUAAUGUGACAAAGAGGAUGUGGGAACCUUCCAGUAGUCCAGGCUAGGAACCGCCGGACUCCUUCACCUGGGACAAAAUUAAGCAGAUCUCUCUUUCCACUGAAGCCCAGCAUAUAGCGUCCAGGGCCUCCAGUUCUAGAGCUGCUGACCAGGCUUGCUCCCCAGGCAGGGAACAUACAGAGAAGUACAUCACGCCACAUCUGUUGUAAUGGGAAUUACUCCUUUGCUGUGUUCCUGCUGACCCUGUUGGAAUAGAUGGCUAUACAACCUGGGACGAUUAGCAGCAACAUAUGGUGCACAGAUUCCCUUUUGGUUGUAAGGAGGGAGACUCGACAGUAAGUCAUUAACCGCGCGUUCACUUGACACACACUUACUUGAUAUAUCUUUCCAUGUUCUUAGCGCAGAAGUCUGCUGCUGCCGCCCCGCCAUGUCCAUCGUAUACUGCAAAGUACAGGACAUCCUCAGUCAGCUGAGCGUAAUCAAAGCGGUCUUCAUUUUCCUUCCGCUUCCCAAUAUGACUGGCACAGCCCACUUUGCUCAGGCUGACUUUUGGAAUCGGCUUUCCAUACUUUAUGCUAGGUGGGAGGAGAAUAGGUUCAUCAAUGCGAUUGUCCCAGAUGCCAAAGGUGUCCCACGUGGCGGGCCGCCCGCUCCCGUCCGAAUCAAAGCGGGAUGCCCGGCGUUCGGAGGUGGAAAUGUAGCACUCGACUGUCAGACGCUUGUCGUCUUGCAAGAGGCGGGAUGUCAGCAGGGCUCUCCUUCGUACUUGAGAACCUCCGUUUCUUACCAAAUGGAUUAAAGCAGCUGUUGACAUAACUUGUCUUCGCAAAGAUUCGUAGGGAUAAAAGAGAUGCAGCAGCUGGAAUGUCUUCAAGAACAAAGAGAAAACUGAUCAAGAAUCAGCACAGGAAGGGGGACUAUCAGUUACAUCAUUCAGGAAACAAUUUCACAGUGGGAGCCCGCUAAUCGUGCAUAGCACAGCACUGCCUAGAAGAGGCUACAGAGCCUCUGCAUGACUCAUCGAGAAACAAUCCUGCACAGACCAGCCCACAGUUACAGUUCUGAUGAGGACUGCUGCAGAUAAAUUGAGGCAAGGCAGCUCCACUGGCCACCUCCAUCGUGAUACCCCUAUUUUCAGAGGUUGCAAAGGAGCUAAUGAGAGUAAAAAUGACUUUGUUCUAUCUCAUCAAAACUAGGAAAAUGUUGAAAUAUGAGGUAAGGUCGUUGAAUGAGUUUAUCAUGCAUACAGCUCAAGCAAUUGCUAUAGCAUAUGUGCUGUGAAUCGUGGAGAGUGUGAAAAAAUGUACUUGCUUUGAUUUUAAAGAGCUGAAUUCCUGCACAGGAGACAUGA